UCACCUGGCACCAGGUCUCUGGCAUAGGCGUGGACACGCACGUCCACCGUAUCUCCAACCGGCUGGGAUGGACGAGAGGUGGGACCAAGAACCCAGAGGAGACACGCAAGGCCCUGGAAGACUGGUUACCAAGGGAUCUAUGGAGUGAGAUCAACUGGUUGCUGGUGGGGUUUGGUCAACAGGUGUGUCUACCUGUCAAUCCUCUCUGCUCUGUGUGUCUGAACCAGCACAGCUGCCCCUCCGCCCAU